rnacentral:tRNA from 1 species
AAAAUUUUAGUUUAAAUUAAAAUUUAAUACUUACAAUAUUAAGAUAUAUGGAUAUAAUAAUAAAUUUUU